ACUGGGACAUUUUGGAGCACGGGGUACAAACAGACAGAGAAGCUACAGCGAACGUUUGCUGUGGAGACUCACGGCAGAUGGCUGCCCUCCCAGAGUCUGCUUCUACCGGAGACGUCCUACUGUUAAAAGGUUCCUUCUGCUCAUAGAGAAUAGUUAUGUCAUAGAGGUUUCCAUCUAAAAUACUGAAAGAUGGCUGGAGGGACGUGUCUGCGUUUGAUCCACAGAUGCUGGCAGGCUGAGCCCCGGCAGGCAAACAAGAGUAGGGAAUCUCAUCCUCUGUUUCCAGCUUCCAGGGACCGGCUCCAGGUGUAAGGCAGGAACAAGGACUGAAUGAUGGGAGAACUAGCCUGGCAUGUUCUUUACAGCGGGGGAAACAAAGACCUAAGACUGAAACCAUGAACCCUCCACAGCGUCCAGGGUUCAUUGCCCACUCUCCAUAUCUGAAUUCCAUGAGCCUCAUAGACUGCCCUUCCAGUUCACAUUGUAUAUAUGACCCCACUGCACUACAAGCUUGUUUGUUCUAAUUUACAUGCCCCAACCUCGCUCCCUCUUUCAGAUCAUUCACCUCCCAUUAGUACACGGUGUUCUGUCUGGUUCUGGAGCUGCACCAGUCCCCUCUGACUCCUUCCUCAAACCACAGCUUACACCAUCUGCCAUUGUGUGCUAGAAAUGCUGUCAAUUUCUUGGUCCUGUCCCAGAUACAUCUGGCUAAUAAGCAUUCUGUAGUGACGCAUGCUGGUUUGAUUGAAGUUUGCUCAGAGUGAAAAGAAACCAAACCAUCAACUGAUUUUGGAACAGAGAAAUUAAAGUAUAUGUGUGAAAAUGCAUUUAAAUGCCAUUUAAGGCAUUUUUAUCUGACAUCAGCUGAUGACCUAAACAGCUUGUUUUUGUUCGAUGGCUUUCUCCAAAAGUUGUAGACCUAAAAUGUUACUGCAAGCAUAAAUGAAGUUGAUUGUUUGGUGCCAAACCUUUUCAGCUGGUCACUACUCAAAAGUCAAGUAUGCCCAAAUGUGUCUGUGUAGGUUCUCAGUCAUCCGGGACAUGCAAUUGUCUGCCAU